rnacentral:lncRNA from 1 species
AUGCAGAACCUAUGGAUACAGAAGGUCUGCUGUACAGCAUACGACAGUAGGCAGAGCAUCACAGUAUACACUACAUCACGGUACACAGUACAUCACGGUACACAGUACAUACGGUAUACAGCACAUCACAGUAUGCAGUACAUACGGUACACAGCACAUAUGGUACACAGUAUAUCACAGUAUGCAGUACAUCACAGUAUACAGUACAUACGGUAUACAGUACAUAUGGUAUACAGUAUAUCACAGUAUGCAGUACAUCACGGUACACAGUACAUCACAGUAUGCAGCACAUACGGUACACACUACAUCACAGUAUGCAGUACAUACGGUAUACACUACAUCACAGUAUGCAGCACAUACGGUAUACACUACAUCACAGUAUGCAGUACAUACGGUACACACUACAUCACAGUAUGCAGCACAUACGGUACACACUACAUCACAGUAUGCAGUACAUACGGUAUACACUACAUCACAGUAUGCAGUACAUACGGUAUACACUACAUCACAGUAUGCAGUACAUACGGUAUACACUACAUCACAGUAUGCAGUACAUACGGUACACACUACAUCACAGUAUGCAGUACAUACGGUACACACUACAUCACAGUAUGCAGUACAUACGGUACACAGUACAUCACAGUAUACAGUACAUACGGUAUACAGUAUAUCACAGUAUGCAGUACAUACGGUAUGCAGCACAUCACUACAUCACAGUAUGCAGUACAUACGGUAUACAGUACAUCACAGUAUGCAGUACAUACGGUACACAGUACAUCACAGUAUACAGUACAUACGGUAUACAGUAUAUCACAGUAUGCAGUACAUACGGUAUACAGUAUAUCACAGUAUGCAGUACAUCACGGUAUACACUACAUCACAGUAUACAGUACAUCACGGUAUACACUACAUCACAGUAUGCAGUACAUACGGUAUACAGUAUAUCACAGUAUGCAGUACAUCACGGUAUACACUACAUCACAGUAUACAGUACAUACGGUAUACAGUAUAUCACAGUAUGCAGUACAUCACGGUACACAGUACAUCACGGUACACAGUACAUCACGGUAUACACUACAUCACGGUACACAGUACAUACGGUACACAGUACAUCACGGUAUACACUACAUCACGGUACACAGUACAUACGGUAUACAGUACAUCACGGUAUACACUACAUCACAGUAUACAGUACAUCACGGUAUACAGUACAUACCGUAUACAGUACAUCACGGUACACAGCACAUCACGGUACACAGUACAUCACAGUAUACAGUACAUCACAGUAUACAGUACAUCACGGUAUACAGUACAUAUGGUAUACAGUAUAUCACGGUACACAGCACAUCACGGUAUACACUACAUCACGGUAUACAGUACAUCACGGUAUACAGUACAUCACGGUAUACACUACAUCACGGUAUACAGUACAUCACGGUAUACACUACAUCACGGUAUACAGUACAUCACGGUAUACAGUACAUCACGGUAUACAGUACAUACGGUAUACAGUACAUCAUGGUACACAGUACAUCACGGUACACAGUAUAUCACGGUACACAUACAUCACGGUAUACAGUACAUACGGUAUACAGUACAUCACGGUACAAAGUAUAUCACGGUACACAGCACAUCACGGUAUACAGCACAUCACGGUACACAGCAAAUCAUGGUACACAGUACAUCACGGUACACAGUACAUCACGGUACACAGUAUAUCACGGUACACAGUACAUCACGGUACACAGUACAUCACGGUACACAGUACGUCACGGUACACAGCAAAUCAUGGUACACAGUACAUCACGGUACACAGUACAUCACGGUAUACAGUACAUCACGGUACACAGUAUAUCACGGUAUACAGCACACAAUAGUAUACAGUAUAUAACAGACUUUUAG